GCCAGCCGCAGUGGCGCGUGCCUGUAGUCCCAGCUACUCAGGAGGCUGAGGCUGGAGGAUCACUUGAGCCCAGGAGUUCUGGGCUGCAGUGCGCUGUGCCAAUAGGGUGCCUGCACUAAGUUCGACAUCAAUAUGGCGACCUCCUGGGAGCGGGGGACCACCAGGUUGCCUAAGGAGGGGUGAACAGGCCCCGGUCACAAAAGGAGCAGGUCAAAACUCCCGUGCUGAUCAGUAGUGGGAUCGUGCCUGUGAAUAGCCACUGCAUUCCAGCCUGGGCAACACAGUGAGACCCCGUCUCAA
ensembl:misc_RNA Metazoa_SRP Metazoan signal recognition particle RNA